UACGUAGGGGGCUAGCGUUGUCCGGAUUUAUUGGGCGUAAAGAGCGUGUAGGCGGCCAGGUAGGUCUGCUGUGAAAACUCGAGGCUUAACCUCGAGAUGUCGGCGGAAACCAUCUGGCUAGAGUCCGGAAGAGGAGAGUGGAAUUCCUGGUGUAGCGGUGAAAUGCGCAGAUAUCAGGAAGAACACCCGUGGCGAAGGCGGCUCUCUGGUACGUGACUGACGCUGAGACGCGAAAGCGUGGGGAGCGAACAGG
rnacentral:rRNA from 1 species